rnacentral:lncRNA from 1 species
UCUUGGCAAUAUUGCCCAGCUUGGGCUGGAUGGGUUUUGCUGAGGACUUGGGGAUGUCACCCUCUUUGGGCUGGAUGGCUUCUUCUGAGGACUUGGGGAGGUCCUCCUUCUUGGAUUGGAUGGUUUCUUCUGGGGCCUUGGGGAUGUCACCCUCCUUGGGCUGGAUGGUUUCUUCUGAGGACUUGGGGCUGUCAUCCUGC